CGGGGUGCAGCAGGCGCGAAAACUCCACAAUGCGCGAAAGCGUGAUGGGGUUAACCCGAGUGCCGUCCGAUGAGGAUGGCUUUUCUUCAGUUUAAGGAUCUGGAGGAAUAAAGGGGGGGCAAGACUGGUGUCAGCCGCCGCGGUAAUACCAGCCCCCUGAGUGGUAGGGACGAUUAUUUGGCCUAAAGCGUCCGUAGCCUGUUUGGGAAGUCUUUCGUUAAAUCCGACGAUUCCAUCGUUGGGACGCGGAAGAUACUGCCAGACUUGAGGACGGGAGAGGCCGACGGUAGUCCUAGGGUAGGGGUGAAAUCCUAUAAUCCUAGGAGGACCACCAGUGGCGAAGGCGGUCGACUAGAACGUGCCUGACGGUGAUGGACGAAAGCUGGGGGAGCGAACCGGAUUAGACACCCGGGUAGUCCCAGCUGUAAACGAUGCGAGCUAGGUGUUGGAGCAACUACGAGUUGCUCCAGUGCCGCAGAGAAGUUGUUAAGCUCGCCGCCUGGGAAGUACGGCCGCAAGGCUGAAACUUAAAGGAAUUGGCGGGGGAGCAC
rnacentral:rRNA from 1 species